CCCGCCCCGAUCCCACGCGAUCCUCCCUCCUGCCCGGGGACCAUGCCCAAGAAAGAUAAUAAUAAAUAAAGAAGGCAAAGUGAAUUACAUGCAGCUGAAGAAGGAUUUUGACCAGAAAAAGGCAAGAAUACAGUUUCAUCAGCCUCAGAGAUUUAAGGAGGAGCUGUGGAAGAUUUUCAGGAGAAGCUGGAGUGCUGCUUUGGGUCUCUGGUGGGGUCCAAUGUUUCCAUCACUGCCC